UAACGUUCUGAAAAGAACGCUAAUACCGCAUAAGAUUGUAGUUUCGCAUGGAGCAGCAAUCAAAGGAGCAAUCCGCUGAAAGAUGGACUCGCGUCCGAUUAGAUAGUUGGCGGGGUAACGGCCCACCAAGUCGACGAUCGGUAGCCGGACUGAGAGGUUGAUCGGCCACAUUGGGACUGAGACACGGCCCAGACUCCUACGGGAGGCAGCAGUGAGGGAUAUUGGGCAAUGGGGGAAACCCUGACCCAGCAACGCCGCGUGAGGGAUGACGGUUUUCGGAUUGUAAACCUCUGUCCUCUGUGAAGAUAGUGACGGUAGCAGAGGAGGAAGCUCCGGCUAACUACGUGCCAGCAGCCGCGGUAAUACGUAGGGAGCAAGCGUUGUCCGGAUUUACUGGGUGUAAAGGGUGCGUAGGCGGAUUGGCAAGUCAGAAGUGAAAUCCAUGGGCUUAACCCACGAACUGCUUUUGAAACUGUUAGUCUUGAGUGAAGUAGAGGUAGGCGGAAUUCCCGGUGUAGCGGUGAAAUGCGUAGAGAUCGGGAGGAACACCAGUGGCGAAGGCGGCCUACUGGGCUUUAACUGACGCUGAGGCACGAAAGUGUGGGUAGCAAACAGGAUUAGAUACCCUGGUAGUCCACACUGU
rnacentral:rRNA from 1 species